UACGUAGGGGGCAAGCGUUGUCCGGAAUCAUUGGGCGUAAAGCGCACGUAGGCGGAUUGCUAAGUCAGGGGUGAAAUCCUGGAGCUCAACUCCAGAACUGCCCUUGAUACUGGCGGUCUCGAGUCCGGGAGAGGUGAGUGGAACUGCGAGUGUAGAGGUGAAAUUCGUAGAUAUUCGCAAGAACACCAGUGGCGAAGGCGGCUCACUGGCCCGGUACUGACGCUGAGGUGCGAAAGCGUGGGGAGCAAACAGG
rnacentral:rRNA from 1 species